GAUUUUUCUCCCUCUUGUUUUGUGGUUAACAGAAUUGCCUGUAGAGGUUCUAGUUCUAAUCACAAUUUUUAUAUUGUCUCACCUCUUUCUAGUGCUUAUGAAACUGGAACUUGCCCUCAGAACUUUCAGGCCUGAAGUAUUCUGGUUCCUCCAGUCCUGCAAGACAGAUCCCAUUGAAUAACACUGAGCUUCUGUUUAAAGGACACUUGACUACCUGCAAAAAAGCUACCCUUGGAGACAGGAUGUUCGUCUAGAAGGAUCACUGGUCUGAUCCAGCAGGUCCUGUUGUUAUAGUUGCCUUCAUUAUGAAUGAAGAUCUACAACUUCCCUAUUGAGCCAAGAUGGCCUCUGGGCCCCUGUGCCAACUACUUUGCAUACAGCUCUAUAGGGUCUACAGCUGCAUGUAGGGGAGGGGCCACACUUGGCAGCUGAGAUGCAGCCUCAGGGUCACCACUACCCACAGCCUGGACCCUGUGGAUACACCAGUUCUGCCAGAGGAGGACCUUGGACAGGAUUCUCCUCCUGGAUUGCCUGGUCACAGUGUUGGAGGACUGGCUGAUGGAUGCUCAGGCCUGGCAAACAGAGGAUGUGGGCUGCCAAGACAUGUGGCAGGUGGAGGACGUCGCCCAUGAGGACAUGCAGGACUAGCACAAGGAGGCAUGGGCCUGAGUGGACAGGGAGUUCCAGGCACACAUCCUGGCCCUGAAGCAUGAGCAGGUGGAGGCACUGCAGGAGCAGAAGGGCAUCUGGACCUGGGGAGUGCAGGCCAUGGACAAUGAUUGCCAGGUGCCAGACACCAUUCUGGCCUUGGUGGUCACCUUUGUGCUGCCUGCUGCCUGGUCCCAGACUCUAGCCCUGCCUGCCCCCUGGCAGCCAUUUGCCACCCAAUAGCAGGCUCCCACCUGGUCCUGGGAGUAGGUCCUGCACCACUUCCAGCAGCCAGGAGCCCUUGGCCCAGCUUCCAACCCAGGGCUGGUGCCACCCAUGCCCCCUGGGCCAGUAACUGCUGUGCCAGCUCCACAGCCUCAGUCCCCGCCAUGAGGUGCAGCCAGCCAUGACACCGCCACCAACCAGCAGUGCCAGCUCCUCCUCAGGGGGGCCCCCAGCCUGGUCUUUGCCCAUGGCACACUGACAUCUGAGGAUACCUCCUGGAGCCGUACACUAUCACCAACAGCCAUGACUGCAUGAAGCAACCAGCCACACCAGCCCCAGCCAUUUGGUAAGGCCUGCAUUGGGGUGAGGGCUUUCCACGCUCCUGCCCCUGCCAACAAUCCCCUCCUGGCCUGGCUGCACUCCCCUGGCCCCAGGUUCCACACCCCCACAGCAUUUAUGGAGUUGUGAGACAGUCCAAACUUUAUUGAGCAGUCUGUGCCCAUGCAGCUCAGUGGACAUAAACCUCUCACACACCAAAGAAUGUGGUGAUGUUGGCAGUGAUGUCCUCCUCAGCUACAGAAGUUAGGGACAUGUAGUGCAGCCUCAGGCAGCCCUCCAGGUGGCAACAGAGGUUGCAAGGGAGCCUGGGUUUGCCCCUGUGCUGUCAAAGCUCAGGGUCUCAUGCCAGGUGCUCAGGUGCACCCAGGGUCCCAUGGCCAUCAGCAGCAGCAGGGCAUAAUGGGUUGGGCACCCCUCAGGCCAUGCAAACAGCUCCUUGUACACUGCCUGGGGCACAUAUAGCAGGGGAAUGCUCGGGGCGCAGCAGUGGCCUGUGAGGGGGCUGGCUUCAGGGUGCCUCCCCAGAGAAGACCCCUGUGGGGAAGAUGGGGGUACGGCAGGCACUGUCCUGGGUUCCUCAAGCUGCUAGUGGAGUGUGCAGCCUGGGAGCUUAGUGGGAUGAUCAACUGCAGGCCUGAGGGCACUCCCCCCCAGUGACAUGUCACCAUGGGUGCUAGGCUGGGGUGGGGGCUCAGGCAGGCUGCCUAUGCUGCUGUACAUAGCAUGGUUGCAGCCUGGGUCCUGGGGCAUGAGAAUGUCUGUCAGUUGCCACAUAAAGGGCAUGGACUUACAGGCACACCCUGACCAACAGUUGUGGUCAGUGAUGGCAGUCCACUGUGCCCAUAAGACUUUAACCUCUAUGUGGCAUUGCUGCAUUGGCCACUUGUGCCCACACUACCACAUCUUGUCUGACAGCCCCUCAUAGAUGUAGGCGUUGGAGCACCCACCCUGCUUGAAUUGGUGCUGCACCUCCACUUCACCCCACAGCACCAGGAAGUCACCAGUCUCCUGCAGGAACCAUUUGGGGCCUUGGGUGGUGGGCAUGGGUGUGGGAAUGGGCAUCAGCAAUGAUGAGGCCAUUGUGGGUCCUGCAGUUGCUCUCCAGGCCUCUCUGUGGCUGUCCCUGUGCUGCUAGGCCUGGGCAGCUGCCUGUAGUGCCCAGUGCAAGGACCUGGCAUGGGACUGGCAGGUGCAUGGCUGAGGAAAUUCCCUGCAGCAUCUGCAAGCUCAAGGAAGGCUCCUGGGGGUGGGCUGCAGGCAGGUGGAUCUGGCCCCGGCAGCCAGAGGUUGCCUGCAGCUGGGCCUGAGGGCUGGCAGGCCUGGCUGGAGUUGUGGGCCUGAUGGUGUGGGUUUGGCAGCUGUGCAGUACUGCAAUACCAGGCAGCAGUGCCAGGGUGCAGGCAGGCUGGAGAGGCUAGCCUGCAGCCUGCUAAUCGGACGUGGUCUGGAGUGCCCUUAGGCUGCCUGCUGGUGUGCCCCAGGGCUCAAAAUGCCUGCAGGCUUUUAAAGGCCUGAGGCAGGGGCUGCCAUAGAGGUAGCCCAGCCCUGGGGUAGGAGAGGCUCACAGCCCAGAACCCUGGGGCUAGCGUAAGGCUGGUCCCCUAGUGGUAGGGCUGACCUUGGAAUAGAUUUGCUCCCAGGUCAUGUCUACAUGUGCGUUACUGUGCAGUAACUAAUCAUGACUAAAUUUGAUACCUGCAUUUGCAUUUACUCAUGAUUAGGGUAAUUUUACUGUGCAGUAAGUGUGCACACAUGUAGAUACAUGUGCUUACUGUGCAGUAAACUAUUGCACAGUUAAGUGUCUCAUGUAGACAUGCCCACUAUUAUGUAACACAGACCUAAAGUAACAUUCUGCAUUAAUUAGAAUAGCUGAGAGUUUCUUUAUUUUGUGGUGGCUGCUUCAGUCCCUGCAGGAGCUCAGUAUUUAGAGGGCAUACAGUAACAGCCCCCCUUUCCCUUCUCUGCUCCUUUAUUUAUGCUUUCUAUUCUAUUUCUUCUGGAGAGGCAGCUAGGGAUUAUAUCCUACAUUAUAUAAAGCAUAUCUUUCAAACAGAAGGAAUUUCAAAAUUGAAGAAAAGCUCUUUUUUUAAAAGUUCAUCCACUGAAACUGGUUGACUUCCACAAUUUAUUUUAUUAUUGCUGUUUCUCCCUAAAUUGAUGUGCUAUUUCACUUGUUAGCAGUAGACAAUAUCUCUCUCUAGCGAAAGUAGUUACACAGAGAAGGAUCCUUUUGAUCUAAGUGGGACUUUUUCUCAAAUAUGGGCUAUGUAAAAUUUUUAGAGUAGCAACUCAGAAAGCAAAAUAAACUGGGACAAGUUUUCUCAUAAAAAAGACAUGAUUUUGUGUAAAGGGAUUCACAUUCUACACCCUUAAUGGAAUUCAACACAAACUAGAAGACCCUUGGUAUGAGAAACAAUACCAGAACUCUGGAGAGAAAGAUUCAGAUUGGGAUUUCAGAUUUGCUCCCAUGAUACACCCCCACAUCACUGAUAGAUGCAGUGAGCAUAGGGUUGUUUCUAGUUUCCCUUUACAAAGAGAGAGUAGACAAAGAGUACAUUGAACAGAGAUAUGCCCAAUGGUCUGGUAAUAAUUCAGGUAUUCUAGGAAUGCAUAAGUUAGUGCCUACUGUAUCUACACAGCCUUGUCUUUUUUUGAAUGAUUAUGAUAUUGUAUCUGGGAAUGUUACUUACUGUUGUUUGAAUAUGUACUCAGUUCAACAAGUAAUAAAUAAGUAUGAGAAACUG